rnacentral:rRNA from 1 species
UACGGGGGGAGCAAGCGUUGUUCGGAUUUACUGGGCGUAAAGGGCGCGUAGGCGGCCACCGCAAGUCGACUGUGAAAUCUCCGGGCUUAACCCGGAAAGGUCAGCCGAUACUGCGGGGCUAGAGUGCAGAAGGGGCAACUGGAAUUCUCGGUGUAGCGGUGAAAUGCGUAGAUAUCGAGAGGAACACCUGCGGCGAAGCGGGUUGCUGGGCUGACACUGACGCUGAGGCGCGAAAGCUAGGGGGAGCGAACGGG